CCAUGCCUACAUUUAAAAUGAGUAUGAGAAGUUAAUGUGGCUUAGUCUCUAACCUGUGUAGAAGUAACAUUGUACAGGGGUGGACAAAAAUAUUUAUAAUAUGGCUGGAAAUUUGACCAACGAUAAAUGAAAGUGACUCAUCAAGUAAUACUGCAAAA
rnacentral:lncRNA from 1 species